UCCUAGGUGGUGCAAAUGGUUAGCACAUUCAGCUGCUAAAUGAAAGUUUGGUGGUUUGAAUCUACCCUGAGGCA
rfam:Loxodonta africana unplaced genomic scaffold scaffold_10, whole genome shotgun sequence.